CACCACGAAUGUGUUCAUGAAGUCCAC
rnacentral:sRNA from 1 species